UCCUGGCUCAGAACGAACGCCGGCGGCGUGUUUAAGACAUGCAAGUUGUACGGGGAAUCUUUGGAGCUUGCUUUGAGGAUUCCUAGUGGCGCACGGGUGAGUAACACGUGAGUAACAUGCCUCGUAGAGGGGAAUAGCCCGCCGAAAGGCGGAUUAAUACCCCAUGGUCCCGCAAGGGUAAAGGUGGCUUCGGCUGUCGCUACGAGAUUGGCUCGCGUCCUAUCAGCUUGUUGGUGAGGUAACGGCUCACCAAGGCAACGACGGGUAGCUGGUCUGAGAGGACGAUCAGUCACACUGGAACUGAGACACGGUCCAGACACCUACGGGUGGCAGCAGUCGAGAAUAAUUCACAAUGGACGAAAGUCUGAUGGUGCAACGCCGCGUGGAGGAUGAAGGUCUUCGGAUUGUAAACUCCUGUCAUUUGAGAGUAAGACCUGGCGGUGAAUAGCCGACAGGGUUGAUAGUAUCAAAAGAGGAAGGGACGGCUAACUUCGUGCCAGCAGCCGCGGUAAUACGAAGGUCCCGAGCGUUGUUCGGAAUCACUGGGCGUAAAGGGAGCGUAGGCGGUUGGGUAAGUCAGAUGUGAAAUCCCGGGGCUCAACCUCGGAACUGCAUCCGAUACUGCCCGACUAGAGUAAUGGAGGGGUAACUGGAAUUCUCGGUGUAGCAGUGAAAUGCGUAGAUAUCGAGAGGAACACUCGUGGCGAAGGCGAGUUACUGGACAUUUACUGACGCUGAGGCUCGAAGGCCAGGGUAGCGAAAGGGAUUAGAUACCCCUGUAGUCCUGGCAGUAAACGGUGUGCGCUUGGUGUGAGGGGUUUCGACCCCCCUUGUGCCGGAGCUAACGCGUUAAGCGCACCGCCUGGGGAGUACGGUCGCAAGACUAAAACUCAAAGAAAUUGACGGGGACCCGCACAAGCGGUGGAGUAUGUGGCUUAAUUCGAUGCAACGCGAAGAACCUUACCAGGGCUUGACAUGCAUUGCUAAUUCCGUGAAAGCGGAUGAGUCUUC
rnacentral:rRNA from 1 species